UACGAAGGGGGCUAGCGUUGCUCGGAAUCACUGGGCGUAAAGCGCACGUAGGCGGCUUUCUAAGUCAGGGGUGAAAUCCCGGGGCUCAACCCCGGAACUGCCUUUGAUACUGGUAGUCUUGAGUUCGAGAGAGGUGAGUGGAAUUCCGAGUGUAGAGGUGAAAUUCGUAGAUAUUCGGAGGAACACCAGUGGCGAAGGCGGCUCACUGGGCUCGAUACUGACGCUGAGGUGCGAAAGCGUGGGGAGCAAACAGG
rnacentral:rRNA from 1 species